rnacentral:rRNA from 1 species
AGAGUUUGAUCCUGGCUCAGAAUCAACGCUGGCGGCGUGCCUCAGACAUGCAAGUCGAACGAUUAAACUUUUCUUCGGGAAAGAUAUAAAGUGGCGCACGGGUGAGUAACACGUAGGUAAUGUGCCUUUGGGUGGGGAAUAACUUAGGGAAACUUAAGCUAAUACCGCAUAAUGCGAUAACUUCUUCGGAAGAUUUUGUUAACAGAUUUAUCGCCUGAACGCAGCAGCCUGCGGCAGAUUAGCUAGUUGGCUAAGGUAACGGCUUACCAAGGCGACGAUCUGUAUCCGACCUGAGCAGGGUGGUCGGCACACACUGACACUGAAUAACGGGUCAGACUCCUACGGGCAGGCAGCAGUCGGGGAAUCUUUGGGCAAUGGGCGAAAGC